rnacentral:rRNA from 1 species
CUGGUCUCAUUUAUAUUAAUGAUUGAAUUUAAUUUUUGAGUGAAAAAGCUUAAAUUUAAUUAAGGGACGAGAAGACCCUAUAGAGUUUUAUAAUUGUAGUGUUUAUGUAUUUAAUUAUUUAUUAAAUAACUAUAUUUAUUUGGUUGGGGUGAUUGGAAAAUUUAUUAAACUUUUUUAAUGGGCAAACAUUGAUUUAUGAUUUUAUUGAUCCUUAUUUAUAAGAUUGUUAGAUUAAAUUACCUUAGGGA